GUUUGGUAGAGUUUGGAAUGUGAAGGGUUGGUACUUAAAUGAUAAUUUAAAUAAUUAUAAAUACAACUUUUGAAACUAAAAAGCCAUUCACCCUCCUUUCCGAUCAUGUCUGUCAAUCAAGCAAUAAUCGCCUCCAAGCACGUGUGACCCUAGGCGAUGUCCUGAACUAAUCGAAGUUCUCAGGGACCCAACGGUGCUGAUACAUGAGAUAAACACUUGAACUUCAUACGUUUUGAAGGUUUUCAUGUAUUAUAUGAGUACCACUUUUAGGACACUUUGAUGGAUAAAGCCACCGCAAGAAACCCCAACACAGUAGAAGAAGCCAUUGAAGUGAGGAAUGCUUUAGAAGUAUAUCGACUGUCUCCAAUCAUUCAUGUCUUUAGUGAGGUUAGCCUACAUGUGGAUAUCGGUGACUACAAUGAACCCAUUAAAGAGAAAGAGACACCAUUGGGCACGCUUGAUGAGCUUUUGAACAUUG